UCGGUCCCGGUGGAGCGCGCGCCUCAGCUCUCCGCUGCGAAACUCGGCUGUGAAGUGUGGUCAUGUGACGGGCUAGCGAGCCCAGGCGAAGCACGGCCACACGGUUACAUGAGACCGAAUGCCAGCUUCAUUGAAAAAGCUCUGUUAUCGAGAGUAGAGACAGGAGGGACAGACGUUUUCAGUGUGCAGACACACAAAAUAACAACACGCAGAAAGCUCUGGGGAACGGGACAUUUUCACAGCCUCAAGAACCUCGGUAGGAGAAAGCAGAAGACACAUCGUUUUAAAUGAUAAAUCAAGCGCAGUGGACACAGCGGGAGUAGAUUAUUCACGCCGAUAACUUCUAUAAGGGCAACUAAAAAAGAGAAAACUACCUCUCCGACGUUUCAUAUUUUUGUUUUAUUUUUCCUUUAAUUGACUUUUUUCUUUAUUUUAUCACCUGUCCUCAGAAAAGCUUACAACCAGAAGGUGUAGAAUUGCAGUGCAGUGCGUAAAGAAAUUGAACGCAACACCAGGAGACAGAACAGCUCACCGCAUUUAGCCUACCAGCAAAAUACAGUAUAUAUAUAUUUUUUCCAUCCUUUGUUCUGUUUGGGGCUGAUUUUUGUUCAUUUUUUGGGGAAUAUGGUUGGGGAAAUGGAAACGAAGGAGAAACCGAAGCCUACCCCAGACUAUCUCAUGCAGCUCAUGAAUGAUAAGAAACUGAUGAGCAGCCUACCCAACUUCUGCGGGAUUUUUAACCACCUCGAACGGCUGCUUGAUGAAGAGAUCAGCCGGGUACGGAAGGACAUGUACAACGACACGCUAAACGGCAGCACAGAGAAGCGGAGCAGUGAGCUCCCAGACGCAGUGGGCCCCAUGGUGCAGCUCCAGGAGAAACUAUUUGUGCCUGUAAAAGAGUACCCCGAUUUUAACUUUGUGGGCCGUAUCCUGGGACCACGGGGGCUGACAGCCAAGCAGCUGGAGGCAGAGACAGGAUGUAAAAUCAUGGUGCGCGGAAAAGGCUCCAUGAGGGACAAGAAGAAGGAAGAGCAGAACCGCGGCAAGCCCAACUGGGAGCACCUCAACGAGGACCUGCAUGUCCUGAUCACAGUGGAGGACGCACAGAACCGCGCUGAGAUCAAGCUGAAGAGGGCUGUGGAGGAGGUCAACAAACUACUGGUGCCUGCGGCGGAGGGAGAGGACAGCCUGAAGAAGAUGCAGCUGAUGGAGCUGGCCAUCCUCAACGGCACCUACCGAGACGCCAACAUCAAGUCACCUGCCCUUGCCUUCUCUCUUGCAGCGAACGCCCAGGCGCCCCGCAUCAUCGCCGGCCCCGCCCCCAUGCCCCAGAACGCCCUGCGCACGUCCACCCCGGCCGGCCCCACCCUAAUGCCCCUGAUCCGACAGAUCCAGACCUGCAUGCCCAACGGCUCGCCCCACCCGGGCGUCAUGACCCAGGGUCCCGAGUCGGGCCUCAUAUACGCGUCGCCGUACGAUUACCCCUACACGCUGGCCCCUGCCACCUCCAUCCUGGAGUACCCCAUCGACUCCAGCGGGGUGUUAGCGUCCUCAAAGGCCGAAGAGCUGCCCCUCUACCUGGGGUUUCAGACCUGUCACUUUCCCAUCACUGUGCAGCGAGGAGAGCCCUCCAACCGGCCUCCCUUUUAAAGAAAUGCCCCUUCACUCCCUCUUUCCCUCCAUCCCCUCAAACAACACACACACACCCACCUCCUCAUCCCCCUCCUCCCUCCGCGCCACCACACGCUGGACUGGUUGAGGAUUGUCCCUCUCUGAGCAUCCACAAGCCACAAGGGGAAGCCUCGGCCCUUCCUCUUUUAACGUCUGUUCAAAGUGACGUGUGUGUUACUGAUCAACCCUUUUUGAUUUCCUGUCCUGAUGAUGAUGAUGAUGAUGAUGAUGAUAUAUUUGUGUACGAUGAUGAGGGAGAACUGAGCUCCACCUUGCUGCAGAACCCCCUUGGGGGCGCCCCCCUCUCUCUGGGUGUGGCUUGGGGGCGUCCUGAGGGGUAACAUGAGGACGGGGAGGGGUCAGUGGGGGUCGACAGAAAGAGGCUGCGGAGCCAAUGGGGGAGAUGGUGUGUGUUGGCGAUGGGGCACCUGCAGUUAAAGCAUCUAGGCUUGACAGGCUUUCUUCACGAAGGGAUUUUAGGACAUUCUGUCCCGACACUGACAGUCUUAACUUCACUCUUAUGAAAAAUAUUGACAGAAUGAGACUUUCAGCUCACGUGUAGCCACUCCAGAUGACAGUCAGUGAGUGAACAACAUAGUAUAACGCAUUUUUGCAUCCACUCAAACGGAGUGUCCUAAAAUGGCUUCGGGAAUAGGGGCCUGGUGUGUGUUGCUUCUCAAAGGACAGACAGGAACUCCUGGCACUAAUUCACCGUUCCCUUCCUUUAUUCUAUAGGUGUGGCUUUCCCCACGAAAGGCUAAAAGAGUUUCACGGAUCCUUACUGAGCCCCUCAUGCGCUUUUGUUUCACAGCUGCCUUUGAGUGUAAUGAACCAAGAGCCGGGCAUAUGGCAGGCAGACAGGCAGACAGACAGGCAGACAGACAGGCAGACAGACAGACAGGCAGACAGGCAGACAGACAGGCAGACAGACAGGCAGACAGACAGACAGGCAGACAGACAGACAGACAGACAGACAGACAGACAGACAGACAGACAGACAGACAGACAGACAGACAGACAGACAGACAGACAGACAGGCUCCCUCACUACUGAUGUUUACACCGGCCAAACCUCCCCAAAGAGGCACGGGCCUUAACGCCAUGCAUUAUGUGUGAGUGUGUAUGUGCAUCCUGUACACACAUUCAUAUAUGUAUAUUUCCGCAGACCUACGGUAUGCGACUGUUCCACUGACUGCUAUGUCUGGGAUUGAAAAUCUAUACAAUACUGUCACGCUUUACUAAUCACUUAAUUCAUUGCCUUUUUUUCUACCUAUUCUUUUUUUAAAUUAUUUUAUAAGAGAUGUUCAUUUUUUUACUACUGCAAAUGUGCCUAAAAGCUUUCAUCUCUGGGCUUUAACCAGAGAGUGAGUGAUCAGUAUUAUAUUUCAAACGAAUAACUGAAGAGAUGCACUUCCUGAUGCGCAACCUGAGAUUAUGUGACUAGUAAAGCUCCCCUCUGUGUGUGUGUAUGUGUGUAUGCAUAAAUGCCUAAUUUCUGCAAAUUUGUAACAAGGACUCAAGAAAACAAUGGAUCCUUACAGUCAAGGUUACUCCAUAGUCACGAAUGCUACUAUGUCCAAGAUUUCUCCUUGUUACGAUGAAGUAUAUGAGUAUAAUUUGUGCCUUAACAUGUAUUUCUAAAGAUUUUUCCUAAUUGUGUUACAUGUGUUUGGUCGUGUAAACCUUGAUGAUAUGACGAAUUGACUUGAUGGAAACGGCGAAGGAGGAAAUGACCUAAUCCUUGUUUUGGUCAUGUUGUUGCAAUCCGAGCAGGUGCAGUGACUAAGGUUCGAAGGCACGAACUGCGGGUCCAUCCUUACCAAAGGAUAGUGACCGCAGACAGAGCCGCCACUGGCAACUAACCCCUGACCUUCUGAAAUCUUCAACCAAUGACGACCUGGCCAUUGCCCGCAGAUCAGUUCUUUGGUAGAAGGGGAAAAAAGCAGCCUUGGCUUGUUACAGUCAGUCAAGGCACAGCUUCUCAUCACCUGACUAAUGGACACACUACAAUGGCUUGGCAGCCACCUCCUGCCUGCCCAGUCUGCUUAUUAGGGGGACAGAUACUGGCUCUAGACCUGCACUGAAUCAUUGUUAAGCAAUAAGGUCUGAUAUGCCCCCUCUUAUCCUCCCUGACCGAGUCCCCGCCAAGCAACCCCCAAACACACCACACUCUAAAACACCCUGGUAACGCCCGGUUGGUCGCCUCCUGAAGAUCAAGAAGGAUGCAAACCUCCACUCCCCGACCGCCCAAAAUCACCGUACCCCCUGGUCCUGCCACAUCGCCCAGGUGACCUUCCCACUGUCAUGGUAAAUGAGCUGACUAUGAAUGUAUAGCAGCGUGGUGAGUCCUGCCGAGUGCGUGCAUGCAUGCACUUCUCUCUCUCUCUCUCUCUCUCUCUCUCUCUCUCUCUCUCUCUCUCUCUCUCUCUCUCUCUCUCUCUCUCUCUCCAUCUAGCCCUGCCAACUGAUGACCCAUCUCUCUUCACUGACUAUGAAGUCCUGGGUCUUUUAUGACAUGGAGACUGAGGAGGGUUCAUUUAAGCAGGACUUGAAGAGAGACUAGGGGCUCUAUUCAAUCAGACAAUCUGCAUAGUGGUUGUUUUGGCUGUGUGUCAGAGGUGAAACUGCGUUAGAGCUGUCAAAUCCACAAGUGGUUCCUGGCAUUAUACCUAAAGCGGACAUUGCCAUUGGCUGCAUGGAGUCACAUUAAGAGAAAUUCCAUGCAGCCUUGAUAACAAGUUCAAACGCUGGAAUAUGAGAUGUAAUCUACACCUAGAUUAGGCUGAUAGAAAUCCUCAUGAUUUGGCGUCAUUAUUUCCAUAUAGCCUACACUUUCUUCUUCUGCACUUCCUAACGCGAGUGGGAUGGGUGUGGCUUUGUGACAAUGAUCAAGAGCAGCUGAUCACCAAUUUGACAGCUGCAAUGCAGUUACAUCUCCGACACCGCCAAAACAUCCGCUGUGUUGGGUGUCGGCUAUCGCCGGUUAACACUUCACCUGAUUUAAUCUAGGCCCUCGGGUCAAACAGAGAGUUUCAAGCAUAUAGAAGGAAAGUACCUGCCCUGUUACCUGGCAUUGUCGUUGUUGUUUUUCUGCCAUAAAGAAAUAUCUUGCAGUCAACUGUUUCUUUGAGGAUGUAAAAGCCAUGCUUGCCUAUCUGCUGUACAAAUGUAUUGAAAUUGUAGAUACAUGUGUAAAAAUGGGGGAGAGCACCAAUGUAAAGAAAAUAGACACUUUUAUUAUACAUGGGUGCUCAUGGGAAAGAAAAAAAAUCUAUUUUUCAAAAACAUAGUCUUUUAUACCUUCGACUAUUGUAAAGAGAAAUUUUUAAUGAAAACCUUUAUGUCAUGAAAACAAUCCUGUUUUCUUUCUGUGGAUGGAGAGUGAAGACCAAAACAACCUUUCAUUUUAAUUCGGGGUUGAGGAUUUAACUGAAGUGUAAAAAACGACAAAGUGCCUUAUUUUACUCAUGGUUUCUGAUAUCUGAAUGUGUCAUCAGCCUUUAAGCUGCAGGACAAGUCAGUACACACAGUCUGUCAGCCACUGAGAGAUGCCCUGAGACGGAGUCAGUCACCUCAGCCUUGUUGUUACACUAGACAGACACAGUAGGUCCCGUUCCAUACAUACAUAAGAGUACUUUUUGGUGGCUCCAUAGCACAGAAGGCCGGUGGAAACUUAAUUGGGGAGGACGGGUUCAUAGUUAUGGCUGGAAUGGAAUAAAUUGAAUGGUAUCGAACACAUCAAACACAUGGUUUCCAUCACAGGAGCCUGCUGAGGGGAGAACGGCUCAUAAUAAUGGCAGGAACAGAGCAAAUGGAAAAGGAUCAAACACCUGGAAACCAUGUGUUUGGUGUAUUUGAUACCAUUCCACUUAUUCCGCUCCAGUCAUUAACACAAGCCCGCUCUCCCCAAUUAAGGUGCCACCAACCUCCUGUGGUUUCCAUGUGUUUGAUACCAUUCCAUUUACUCCAUUCCAGACAUUAUUAUGAGCCGUCCUCCCUUCAGCAGCCUCCUGUGCUCCAUAGAGUAGUAAUAUCAGUAGUAUACCAGUAGUAUACCCAGGGCCGGCUCCAGGCAUAAGCAACAUAAGAAGUCCAACUCGUGCCAGCGUCGCCGUGGGACUCAUUGGGUUAAUAUGGGCAAAAUAUGUAGAAUUGCAGGAAAUUAGCUUUAAAACUGCAACAAUUUCGCCCUACACCAUGGUAAAAUUGGUAGAAUUGCAGGAAAUUAGCUUUAAAACUGUAAAAACAAAAAAAUCUCUCUGCCCCAGUGGCAUAAUGAGUAGAAUUGCCUGAAAUGUGUUAUGAAAUUGAAAAAGAUUCUCUCCGCCCCAUAGCAAAAUCUGUGGAAGUGCAGAAAACUUGCUUUAAAACUGCAACAUUUUCUCUACACCCCAUGGCAAAAUGUGUAGAAUUGCAGGAAAUUUACUUUAGAAUGUACAUUUGUCUCUCCGUUAUCAAGAGGGGGGCCACAAAAAAAAAUGUGCCCGCUUGGUGGGGGGGCCCCCAACCAAAUCUCUCUUGGGGCCCUCAAAAUGAUAGAGCCGGCCCUGAGUAUACCAAUACUGUCCGAGUCAGUGUCUACACAGUCCUAUCAAUGUCCUAAAGGGAGAAAUAGUAUUAUAAUGAUUGUAAAACAGAGCGGUAACAUGUCUAAUUGGCCUUCUUAUGGUUUUUCACCAUGAAUCUUCUGAGACCGGUUGUCUUUGUCUGUGGAUGAGGGCCUCAGCUCAGAGUUGCCCAAUUAUUAUAUCCAGUAGUAGUAGCUACUCAUGCCAGGACAGUCCCAAGGUUUUUCUUGACAUUCUCCAGAUAGUCGAGCAUGUCUUUACCUUUCCUUGAGUGGAGGGUCUGUGGUUCUUUAUAAAUAGACUGUGUUUCACUGUUAUAAGUGCUGUUCUGGACUGCCUUAUGUAGGAGUUGUCAUUGGCAUAGACAUCCCACUACCCGUAGAGCUGAGUUCUCUACCAUGAUGUAGUUCUCUAUCACCUAUCACAUGAGAUGAGGACUUGUCUUUUUUUGCCCUCCUGAUUUACUUUCUAUAGAGGAGUAUUGGGUCGGUAGUCUCGGUGACCAGACAUCUGCUGACUCGGCAUCUGCGGUAGUUCUAGGUGAAGGGUUUAUGUGAUUGUGGUAACUAGGUGGUUGACUGUAAAGCCUGCAUGUACUUCCCGGUCUACACCAAAACAUUGCUCCACAUCCCCUUCUUUAUUUACUAUGCAACAGAAUGGCCUCUAGUGGUUUAUGGAGAGUUUCUGUGUCUCAGAUUGUGUCUUAAUGUGUGUGCCGUUUAGUUUCAGUCUCAGUAUUAUGUUUCAGAAAUUGUUCUGUUGUGCAAUUGCAUAUUAUUAUGAUCGGUUAUAAAUGAUGAAUUAGUAUGUAUUCUCAAUAAGAUUCUGAUUCUGAUUAUUGUCAUACCUAUUAUUAUUUAAGAUAAUGGAUUGACUUUGAAGUAAGACUAAUAUUUUACAUAAAAUGUUAUUGGUGAUAAAAUAAUGGUGGCAAACAAAUGGUUUUAUUAGUUGUGAGUGAAAACAUAUCAUAGCCAAUAAAGCAUGGCAAUCCCAUCCCUUAAUGACGUGCAUGUUAUGCUAUUAUCAGAGGUUUUUAUUUGUGCUAUUUUGACAGCAUUAUUCUUGAACUGGUGUUUUUUUUCUGAGUGUGCAAAUCAUUCUGUUAGCAUUUACUCCAUGAAUUGUGUGUAACCAUACCCAAAUGAUUGCCUACGAGAAAACAAUAUGUCUAUUUGCAGCCAUUGUUCUAAGUUUCUAAUGUAUUUUUAUAUCUUAUUUUCUAUGUGUGUAAGACAAAAUAUUAAAUUACUUCUUUACAGAUUUGAAUUACAUAAACGACAAAAUCAGCUACAUUAUUUGCUUCAUUUGAGAUUCUUUGUAGUUUAUUAAAUCAGUGUUUCAUAAUCCUGGUCCUGCUAAUUACAGUUUUUGCCCUAGCACUACACACCUGAUUCCACUAAUCAACUCAUCAAACCUUUGAUUGGUGGAAUCAGUUGUCUGGUGCUAGGGAAAAAAACUCAAAUGUGCACCCUUUGGGUACCCAGGACCAGGAUUAAGAAACACUGCAUUAAAUUAACUCCUUGACAAAGCCUUAUCUCUAUUACUGAUUCCGAUCAUUGACGUUUUUCCUUUCCUCACAUUUAGGGAUGUUUGGUUGUGGCAUGUUUCAUUUAGCCCGUAUUAUUUUAAUAAAUGUUUCCAAACAGA